rnacentral:rRNA from 1 species
UGCUUGCACCGAGCGGAGGAGUUGCGAACGGGUGAGUAACGCGUAGGUAACCUGCCUCUUAGCGGGGGAUAACUAUUGGAAACGAUAACUAAUACCGCAUAAAAGUCGACAUUGCAUGAUGUUGACUUGAAAGGUGCAACUGCAUCACUAAGAGAUGGACCUGCGUUGUAUUAGCUAGUUGGUGAGGUAACGGCUCACCAAGGCGACGAUACAUAGCCGACCUGAGAGGGUGAUCGGCCACACUGGGACUGAGACACGGCCCAGACUCCUACGGGAGGCAGCAGUAGGGAAUCUUCGGCAAUGGACGGAAGUCUGACCGAGCAACGCCGCGUGAGUGAAGAAGGUUUUCGGAUCGUAAAGCUCUGUUGUAAGAGAAGAACGAGUGUGAGAGUGGAAAGUUCACACUGUGACGGUAACUUACCAGAAAGGGACGGCUAACUACGUGCCAGCAGCCGCGGUAAUACGUAGGUCCCGAGCGUUAUCCGGAUUUAUUGGGCGUAAAGCGAGCGCAGGCGGUUAGAUAAGUCUGAAGUUAAAGGCUGUGGCUUAACCAUAGUACGCUUUGGAAACUGUUUAACUUGAGUGCAGAAGGGGAGAGUGGAAUUCCAUGUGUAGCGGUGAAAUGCGUAGAUAUAUGGAGGAACACC